rnacentral:rRNA from 1 species
CGGAGGAUCCAAGCGUUAUCCGGAAUCAUUGGGUUUAAAGGGUCCGUAGGCGGCCUUAUAAGUCAGUGGUGAAAUCUCCCGGCUCAACCGGGAAAUUGCCAUUGAUACUGUAGGGCUUGAAUUAUUAGGAAGUAACUAGAAUAUGUAGUGUAGCGGUGAAAUGCUUAGAGAUUACAUGGAAUACCAAUUGCGAAGGCAGGUUACUACUAAUGGAUUGACGCUGAUGGACGAAAGCGUGGGUAGCGAACAGGAUUAGAUACCCUGGUAGUCCACGCCGUAAACGAUGGAUACUAGCUGUUGGGCGCAAGUUCAGUGGCUAAGCGAAAGUGAUAAGUAUCCCACCUGGGGAGUACGUUCGCAAGAAUG